rnacentral:lncRNA from 1 species
CUGGCGCCGGCGCCGGCCACUAGGUUUAUGGCGUUCGCUCAUUCUCGUUCCUUCCUUGGCGGCAGUUAGAGCCCGAAUUGCUCCUCCCCAGGGGGCCCGACACCGCCCCUUCCACCCGCAGGCCAUGGCGGGCGCUGAGGCGCGGAGGCGGGCGCCAUGCUGAGGGCCGGAGGUUUCAUGUCGCUAGUACUAGCCCUAGUGCUAGCUGCGAGGCUCCCCGCGCUCGGCCGGCCGCCGCCGCCGCUGGGCCGACUCCUCGCCCUGUGGGAGCUGUGGCCAGGUUAUAUAAAAGAGUGUCAGCUACUAUCAAUGGUAACAGUAAACAAUUCUUCAAAUAAAAUAUCACAACUUGUGGACCCAGAACAAUCAACAUUGAAAAAAAAUCUUCUAAUUUCUCAUGGCGUUUGGCAGAACACUUCUACAGCUGGAAGAAAUUACAAAAUUUUUAAAACAAAAUCAGAAGCAACUAGAAGAAAAACUGACAAAUACAAGCACCAAUGGAAGCUGCUGAGAAAUAACAUUAUAAACAUUUUCAUGAAUCAAAACAAGCCACAACUAAUUACCAAUGAAGGCAUAAAAACACAAGUUUCCAAAAAGUGGACAGGAAGUGGAAAAAUAACUUCAACUGAAACAAAUGCAGAGCUAACAGAAAAAGCAAGAAAGAUCCUAAAGCUUGGGAAAACUGAAAAUACUAAGAUAAUAAGUCAACAUAAAAUUAAUUCACAUCUACAGAAUGAAUUUAAAAUUGUUGAAAAGAAAACUGCAAAUAAUAAAAGAAAUCAACUGCAAAAAAAGUUGUAUUGCAAUUCUUGUAUAUUUAACAAAUGCUUUGGAACUAAGCCAUCAUUGAUAAAUACGUUUUUGACAGCAAAUUGUCUAUCAACUGUUAAAGGAAAAUGUUGCAGAAAAAAUCUGAAAGACUUACAAAGCAUUUUGGUAUUAAAUUUAGUAAAAAAUCAGAUGGUCAAUGAAAGUAGUCAAAAUCAAACUAAAACAAUGACAAAGGAAAAAAAUAAAUGUACCAAUAAAAGAAUUUUAGCAUUUGUCAAACAAAAGGAAUUAGCUGAAAAGAGUUCUAAAACAUGGGACUGGGAAAGAAUAGGUGCAAUCAGCAGAGAUCAGCAUAAAAUAUUAACUGAUGCAAGAAAAGUGUUAAUAAGUGCAGAAAAGAAAAGUCAACAUACUGAACUUCAGAAAUAUGGACAUAUACCUAAAGAGUUUCAGGAAAUAACUGGAUCUGUAAACAAUAUACCAAGUGGAAUAAGCAGUUGGAAAAGAAAAUCAGAAGGAAUGUCUACUAGGCCUUACAGUAAAAACCAAAACAUUUUAAACUCAAUGAAACAAAGAUCAGCAGGAUUACAAAAGGGUCAACCAAAUAUGAAAGACAUAGAUGGAAUGUACACAACAGGAAAAUCAGACAAAAAUAACAGGAGCAUAGAUGUAUUGUUUAAUAGCUUGCCUGAAGUAGGAAUCAAAGUAAUACUUCAAGGUAAAGAGCAAAGAACUAAAACAACUCCAAAAUCUGUUGAUAAAAAUCAGAGAUCUUCUGCACAAGCAAUGAUCCUGCAAAGAAGCAAAGAAAAUGUGCAGGAAAAGUGGUCAAUAUAUAAAACUGGUUCUUCUAGAACUCAUGAAAGAAAACAAGAUACUUUUAAAACUAAAGUUUCUAGAAAACAGAAAUGGAGAGGGAAUCCGGUUGAAGUACAUAUACCUAAAAAAGAAAGUACUGUGUUUAGAGUGGAAAGGUUGGAAUAUUCAUCCAGAAAUGACCACGUAGAACCUAUAAAGUUAAAUUCUGUCUUUCCAACCACAAAAUAUGCUGUAAGUGUUAAACAGGCAUUAUUUCCACCAGAAAUAGGACAAGCAAAGUCUUCAAGACAUGUGGGAAAAAUGGUGACACAUAGCACGUCAACUUCAUGGAAGGUAAAACAGAAAUCUUUAAGCUUUGCUCAAAAGGAUUUAAAUAUUAAAGCUAGAAGAGCUGCUGUAUCAAACAAACAAACUGUGAAUAGUAAAUAUAAAAAAAUUAAUAAAAGAGAUUAUUUACCAAUAUCUUCAAUAUAUCCUUAUAAACAUACUUCUCAAAGUGUAUCUGAUGGUGAAAGAAGAAAACAAUCAACACAGGGUGAAAGUGUAAAGGUAUCUGUAGGAGCAAGAUGCUAAAAAGGAAGCUUGGAGGAGACAUAUUCAUAAUCUGAAGCUCAUCCCUUUCCUAUACCAGCCAAAUGGAUGGAGCAUAUUACACAUCCUCUGUAUCCUCAGAAAAGAUCUGGAAGGAAUUGUGUUUCAUGUAGACACAAUCUGCUGUGUGAUAAUCCUGAGGCUCCACACACACCAUCUUCUGUGUAAUUGCUCUAAAAUUGCCACUGAACCUAUAGACUUGUGAUUGUGAUAUUGACGACAAAUGGCAAGGUGGCAAUGAAUUACCUUGAAUGGUAAAUAUAUACAUCUACAAAAGGAUGUGUUGCAAGAAAAGAAUUCAUGUAUGGACAUCAUACAAUUGUUGUCUAAAAGAAAUCUGAGCCAGUUUUUCUUAACUAAGCAGAAACAUUUUCAUGGAAUGAAAGUUACCCUAGUGACAGAGCCCACAUAAGAUCCAGUACACCUAAAGGGCAUAGGUAUUCGUUAGAGCCUUCUGUGAG